rnacentral:rRNA from 1 species
AAGGUUUCCGUAGGUGAACCUGCGGAAGGAUCAUUGACGAGCCCUGAGACAACCGCGAACACGUUACCAACGUAGCGCCGAGGGUGGCGUCCGCAUCCCACGCCCCCUUGCGGGCGUGGCAACGCGUCGCCUCCCCCGGCACGUCGGGCCUCGGCGCCCGGCGAACCUAACCCCCGAGGCGCGGACAGCGCCAAGGAUCACACGAGCAGGCUCGUGGAGCCGGUGAGCGGGGCGAGCCCCGUGGCACUCGGCGCCCGUGCCGAUGGUGCGCGACGAGCGCCCGAACACAGUACGACUCUCGGCAACGGAUAUCUCGGCUCUCGCAUCGAUGAAGAACGUAGCGAAAUGCGAUACUUGGUGUGAAUUGCAGAAUCCCGUGAACCAUCGAGUCUUUGAACGCAAGUUGCGCCCGAAGCUGAAUUGCCGAGGGCACGCCUGCCUGGGCGUCACGCAUCGCGUCGCCACCCUCCCCCCGCUCGGGCGGGACGGGGGCGGAGACUGGCCCCCCGUGCGCUCGCGCGCGCGGCCGGCCCAAAUGGGGUCCCCCGGCGCUGGGCGCCACGAGCAUUGGUGGUUGAUCGCACGACUUCGCGUGCCGUCGCGCCGAGCCCCCGUGGGACUCGGGAGCACCCCCACCCCACAAGGGCGUCGUUCUACGAGCGGCGAGCCCUCGACCGCGACCCCAGGUCAGGCGGGAUCACCCGCUGAGUUUAAGCAUAUCAAU